CACUGACCCAAGAGUGUAAACAAACAAGCAGACUGGGGAGUAUUAUUAAUCACAUGCACACUGUCUACUUAAUUGCAACUUGGACUCCUAAAAGUUAGAAGAGAAAUUUCCACUUAAGGAAAUUUCCAAUUGAUGAGAGCAAGGGGAGUGCCAGACAGAGGAAGAAGGAGGCUCCCCACUGAGGAAGAAGCCAGAUGCAGGAUUCAAUCUUAAAACCCUGGGAUCAUGACCUAAGCCAGAGGUGGAUGCUGAACUGACUGAGCCACUCAGGAGCCUCUAGACCAUCUAGAUUUCUAUAUGAAAUUUCACUUCAAAAGACUGGUAACACUCAGGAUCAUACACAAUUGUUCUGCAGGCCAGAUACAGGGGAUCCACUCGGGAUGACAAGGCCUUCACUGACAGGAAAGCCCCGCAAUGGAAAAAGCUGGAAUUCCUAAAUACUGGGAAGAGUAAAGGCUUCCAACACCUGCUCCACUACCACCAACACCAACUGGAACUGGAUGAUGACAUCGUGAGAAAUAAUCUUGUAUUGUACUAAGCACCAAGAUUUAGGGCUUGCUGGUUAUAUUCACCUAUCCUAAUUUAAACAUGAAUGAAUAACUAUUUCUCUUUUAAUAAA